rnacentral:rRNA from 1 species
AUGGCCAUCCGCAACCUCGCCGCCGCAGAGGCCAUCCGCCAGGCCGUCCUCGCCGAGACCCCCGGCGCGAGCGUGGAGGUGAUGGAGCUGGACCUCUCCUUGUUGGAAUCUGUCCGCAAGUUCGCGCCGACUUCGCCGCCAGUGGCCUCCCGCUCAACAUCCUCAUGUAAGGCAGCCCUACUUCUCGCUUCUACUAGUCCCAAUCAUGUGAAAAGCACUUGA